rnacentral:misc_RNA from 1 species
CACAGAUAAGAAGUAUUUAGUUCGCUACUCUCAGCACAUUGCAACAGGGUAAGGUAAAACUAAAAGGAAGAAACGCCGACUAGCUCAUUCACUACCAAAACACAACAGUGAAUAAUCCUAGGUCAUCCUCUGAGCGAUUUCCUUCUGAAGGAGCCUUUCUUUGGCCUUUGUUUUGGCCUGAGACUUCGAUCCCAUGACACCACCUCCCCAUUUCUUCCGGAUCUCAUCAAAUUUGUCAUUGAAGUUGGCCUUGAUUGCCUCCAAUAUUUUGCUGAAUUCAAGUUUAUCUUCAUUCUUCACAGUAGUGAGGCACAGAGCGGCAGCAGUCUUCUUGUGCACAAUCGCCCCCAAGCGAGCCUUUCCCUUCACGAUACAGUAUGGGAUUUCCAUCUUCCUGCACAAGGCCGGAAGCCAGACCACAAGCUCGAUGGGAUCCACAUCAUGAGCAAUGACUACAAGUUGUGCCUUGUUUUGUUCAAUGAGGUACGUGAUAUGGUUAAGCCCAUACUUCACUACAAUGGGCUUUUUCACCUCGACUGUUUUACCUUCAGUUUCCGCCUGAGCCCUUUUGAGAAGCCUUUCCUUCUUUGCAGCCUUGUCUUCAGGCCUGUACUUCAAAAGCAUCUUGAACAAGUUUGUUGCGAGAUUCUUGUCAAGAGUCCUGGUGAACUGGUUGAUCGCCGGGGGGACCUUGAGCCGCUGCUUCAGGAUCCUGCGCUGGCGCUGGAUCCUCACUACCUUGGGCCAUUUCACAAACCUGUGCAGAUCCCUCUUCGGCGGCAGCGCCCCGCCGAUGCCGAACUGCUUCGCUCGCUUCUCGAACAACGGGUUCGUGAUCUUCUCCGGCUUCUUCUUCGCCGGCGCAGCAGCCUUCCCGCCUCGCUUCGGUGCCAUGGAUGCGGCUGAGAUCAGGGUUUGGGCCGGG